rnacentral:rRNA from 1 species
GACGAACCGUGCGACCGUUGUUCGGAUUCACUGGGCUUAAAGGGCGCGUAGGCGGGCGGUCAAGUCAGGGGUGAAAUCUUUCGGCUCAACCGGAAAAGUGCCUUUGAUACUGGCCGUCUCGAGGGAGGUAGGGGCAUGCGGAACUUCCGGUGGAGCGGUGAAAUGCGUAGAUAUCGGGAGGAACACCUGUGGCGAAAGCGGCUCACUGGACCAUAACUGACGCUGAUGCACGAAAGCUGGGGGAGCAAACAGG